rnacentral:rRNA from 1 species
AUUGAACGCUGGCGGCAUGCCUUACACAUGCAAGUCGAACGGCAGCACGGGUGCUUGCCCCUGGUGGCGAGUGGCGAACGGGUGAGUAUUACAUCGGAACAUGUCCUGUAGUGGGGGAUAGCCCGGCGAAAGCCGGAUUAAUACCGCAUACGAUCUACGGAUGAAAGCGGGGGACCUUCGGGCCUCGCGCUAUAGGGUUGGCCGAUAGCUGAUUAGCUAGUUGGUGGGGUAAAGGCCUACCAAGGCGACGAUCAGUAGCUGGUCUGAGAGGACGACCAGCCACACUGGGACUGAGACACGGCCCAGACUCCUACGGGAGGCAGCAGUGGGGAAUUUUGGACAAUGGGCGAAAGCCUGAUCCAGCAAUGCCGCGUGUGUGAAGAAGGCCUUCGGGUUGUAAAGCACUUUUGUCCGGAAAGAAAUCCUUGGCUCUAAUACAGUCGGGGGAUGACGGUACCGGAAGAAUAAGCACCGGCUAACUACGUG